AUUGAACGCUGGCGGCAGGCCUAACACAUGCAAGUCGAGCGCGAAAACACUUCGGUGUGAGUAAAGCGGCGGACGGGUGAGUAACGCGUAGGAAUCUACCUAGUAGUGGGGGACAACUCGGGGAAACUCGAGCUAAUACCGCAUACGCCCUACGGGGGAAAGCGGGGGACCUUCGGGCCUCGUGCUAUUAGAUGAGCCUGCGUUGGAUUAGCUAGUUGGUGGGGUAAAGGCCUACCAAGGCGACGAUCCAUAGCUGGUCUGAGAGGAUGAUCAGCCACACCGGGACUGAGACACGGCCCGGACUCCUACGGGAGGCAGCAGUGGGGAAUAUUGCGCAAUGGGCGAAAGCCUGACGCAGCCAUGCCGCGUGUGUGAAGAAGGCCUUCGGGUUGUAAAGCACUUUCAAUUGGGAGGAAAGGUUCACGGUUAAUAACCGUGAGCUGUGACGUUACCUUUAGAAGAAGCACCGGCUAACUCCG
rnacentral:rRNA from 1 species